rnacentral:rRNA from 1 species
GAUGAACGCUGGCGGCAUGCCUUACACAUGCAAGUCGAACGGUAACAGGUCUUCGGACGCUGACGAGUGGCGAACGGGUGAGUAAUGCAUCGGAACGUGCCCAGUCGUGGGGGAUAACUGCUCGAAAGAGCAGCUAAUACCGCAUACGACCUGAGGGUGAAAGCGGGGGACCGUAAGGCCUCGCGCGAUUGGAGCGGCCGAUGUCAGAUUAGCUAGUUGGUGGGGUAAAGGCCUACCAAGGCAACGAUCUGUAGUUGGUCUGAGAGGACGACCAGCCACACUGGGACUGAGACACGGCCCAGACUCCUACGGGAGGCAGCAGUGGGGAAUUUUGGACAAUGGGCGCAAGCCUGAUCCAGCAAUGCCGCGUGCAGGAAGAAGGCCUUCGGGUUGUAAACUGCUUUUGUCAGGGAAGAAAUCUUCUGGGCUAAUACCCCGGGAGGAUGACGGUACCUGAAGAAUAAGCACCGGCUAACUACGUG